UACGUAGGUGGCGAGCGUUGUCCGGAUUUACUGGGCGUAAAGAGCGCGCAGGCGGCUGGUCAAGUCCGAUGUGAAAGCUCCCGGCUUAACUGGGAAAUUGCAUCGGAAACUGAUCGGCUGGAAGGUGGGAGAGGGUAGCGGAAUUCCCGGUGUAGUGGUGAAAUGCGUAGAUAUCUGGAGGAACACCGGUGGCGAAGGCGGCAUUCUGGACCGACAUUGACGCUGAGGAGCGAAAGCCAGGGGAGCAAACGGG
rnacentral:rRNA from 1 species